rnacentral:rRNA from 1 species
CCUACGGGAGGCAGCAGUGAGGAAUAUUGGUCAAUGGACGCAAGGCUGAACCAGCCAAGCCGCGUGCAGGACGCAGGCUCCAUGCAUUGUAAACUUCUUUUGUCCAAGGACAAAUCCCGACACGUGUACCGGACUGAAAGUAUCGUACGAAAAAGGAUCGGCUAACUCCGUGCCAGCAGCCGCGGUAAUACGGAGGAUUCAAGCGUUAUCCGGAUUUAUUGGGUUUAAAGGGUGCGUAGGCGGGUCGUUUAGUUAGCGGUGAAAUCCCGGGGCUCAACCCCGGCACUGCCUCUGAUACUGUCGGGCUAGAGAUGUGUUGCGGUAGGCGGAAUGUAUGGUGUAGCGGUGAAAUGCAUAGAUAUUAUACAGAACACCGAUUGCGAAGGCAGCAUACCA